rnacentral:rRNA from 1 species
AUCUGGGCGGCGAAAUUCAGGAUGGCUGGCGGGCCUCGUGCACGUCCGGCCGUUUGAUGUUUUCGUCGCCAACGCAGACGUCGCGACCUGUUCGUCGUCGGUCCUUGCUUUUCGGAGGAGUCGCGAUCGAGUUCGUUGCGCGGCGCGUUUCGGCGUGUCGUGCGGCGAAGACGCGGAUCUCUGGCUGACGACGGACAGUAAGCAACGGUGUCCGACGUCGUUUCGCGCGACGUUCGGUACCGGUCAGCGACGAUUUCUUCGGGCCUCUUUCCGACCCGUCUUGAAACACGGACCAAGGAGUCUAACAUGCGCGCGAGUCGCGGGGUGUCGAGCGUACCACGGUGCGCUCGUUACAUCACGAAACCCGUAAUGUUGAAGGCGUAAUGAAAGUGAAUGGGGAAGAUGGCGUUCCGAGUUCACGUACCGUGAUGACAGUAUCGCGGCCGGACGCCCGCAUUCCCGGGGCGUCUCAAUGGCUCGUCGCGGAUGCGGACGGUCGUCUUUCGGGGCGGCCGUCGGUCUGCGACGGACCGA